rnacentral:rRNA from 1 species
GACGAACGCUGGCGGCGUGCUUAACACAUGCAAGUCGAACGGUAAGGCCCUUCGGGGUACACGAGUGGCGAACGGGUGAGUAACACGUGGUGAUCUGCCCUGCACUUCGGGAUAAGCCUGGGAAACUGGGUCUAAUACCGGAUAGGACCAUGGACUUCACGGUUUGUGGUGGAAAGCUUUUGCGGUGUGGGAUGGGCCCGCGGCCUAUCAGCUUGUUGGUGGGGUAAUGGCCUACCAAGGCGACGACGGGUAGCCGGCCUGAGAGGUGUCCGGCCACACUGGGACUGAGAUACGGCCCAGACUCCUACGGGAGCAGCAGUGGGGAAUAUUGCACAAUGGGCGCAAGCCUGAUGCAGCGACGCCGCGUGAGGGAUGACGGCCUU